AUCAACCGAGAUUCCCCUAGUAGUGGCGAGCGAACGGGGAAUAGCCCAGAGCCAUCAUCAGCUUGCGCAUCAGGAAAACGGUCUGGAAAGUCCGGCGAUAGAGGGUGAUAGCCCCGUAUCCGAAGGUGCGUUAGUUGUGAGCUCGAUGAGUAGGGCGGGACACGUGACAUCCUGUCUGAAGAUGGGGGGACUAUCCUCCAAGGCUAAAUACUCCUGACUGACCGAUAGUGAACUAGUACCGUGAGGGAAAGGCGAAAAGAACCCCUGCAAGGGGAGUGAAAUAGAACCUGAAACCGUGUACGUACAAGCAGUAGGAGCAUCAUUUAAGAUGUGACUGCGUACCUUUUGUAUAAUGGGUCAGCGACUUAUGUUCUGUAGCAAGGUUAACUGUAUAGGGGAGCCGUAGGGAAACCGAGUCUUAACUGGGCGUUUAGUUGCAGGACAUAGACCCGAAACCCGGUGAUCUAGCCAUGGGCAGGUUGAAGGUUGGGUAAC
rnacentral:rRNA from 1 species